ACACGUACCGUACGAACGUUAUUCGGAAUUACUGGGCUUAAAGAGUCCGUAGGCGGCUCGAAAGGUGAGGUGUGAAAUCCCACGGCUUAACCGUGGAACUGCGCUUCAAACCAUCGAGCUAGAGGGAGACAGAGGUGAGCGGAACUGAUGGUGGAGCGGUGAAAUGCGUUGAUAUCAUCAGGAACACCGGUGGCGAAAGCGGCUCACUGGGUCUCUUCUGACGCUGAGGGACGAAAGCUAGGGGAGCGAACGGGAUUAGAAACCCUAGUAGUCC
rnacentral:rRNA from 1 species